AGCUCUCAUGGAGAUCCAAGACAUCCCCAGUGUGAAGUGACAGAGAGAUGGACAGAUCCCAUACAGACAUAUUCCUGGGAAACACUUGCUGUGUGUGUGUGGGUGAGCACUAUCCUGCUGAAAAAUACCAAUUGGAGGCCCUGCCAUGAGAAACAGGACACGUGGCCAAAGGAUGUCAUGCACAUUUCACUGAGCUGGGGUGGGCAACUGUCAUAUGCGAUGGCUCCCCACAUCCUCACACCAGAAGUUGGAGAAGUGAUUUGUCAAUGAGUGUAUUCCUAUAAACUGCUAAUGGCUUAGCAUAGGUAGCUUGUUAGCAUAGAAUAAGCUAAAUCUAUAUAUAAGCAAUUGUUGCAAUUGUACUAUGCUAGAGAGAGAGAGAGAGGAUUCACUUAUUAGUGUUGGAAUAUAGAACAUCGAAGCUUAUAUGAGAGAUGUUGUGAAUGGGUGUGUUUUCUACAUGUAAUAUUAAAUUAUGAUAAGAUUAACUGUGUCUGUAUCAAUAAAAGCAGAAACAAAG
rnacentral:lncRNA from 1 species